AUCUAGCAACCUGCCCCCUCCCCCCCAGAACAAAACGGGGGGGAUCAAGACUGUGUGGUAAGUUUGUAGCUUGGGCCUGAGGAUGCAUCGGUACCAGCUGGCUUGUCUUCUGUAUCCCCAAGGAGUCCAGCAUUAAGAAGUGUAGGUCUCAUGCUGUAGCACUGUCCUCUGCUGUCAAUGGUACAAAGACAUUUUCCUGAUGCUGUUGCACAGAAGAAGUCAUAUCAUAGCAAAGGGUCAGUCUCAAUGGCCAAUGCCAGAAUCAACAACUCCUGAUGAGAUGAGCACUGGAGAAGGGGACUGGUGCUGAAGAUCAGAAACAAGUUCUGGAGAGAAACUCCUUACCAGUUCUGAAGUACUCUGUGCACCCUCUGAGUGGGAAGGUUCAGAAGAUGGACGCAGGAUGGUCUCUGUGGAGCUGUGAUGUUGUCUCAGAGAGUAUAAAUUUAAGGUUCCUUGGAUGGUUUUCUGUGAUGGGUGCACAGCUAUUGCCUCAAGAAAUUUCAAGGCUUAAGUUAAUUUAGAUGCUAUUCUUAAUACUAAAAGAGAAAGAGGACAGCAGAGAGCAAUUAGAUGUGAAAAGGAAAUAUGUUUUGGCUGCAAAAAAAUAUUAUCCAGGCACCAGAUGGCAAAGUGCUCAGGAGGACAUCAAUAGGAGAAAUGUCACUGGAGAUACCUGAAUGAAGAAGCAUGUGGGGAAAUUUUAUGUUUCUUGCCAUCAUUUCCAGAAGUACCAGUUUACAAGUCUCUCCUUUGUGUUCAAUAAAUCCACAGGCAUUCGUGGACUUUGUUGUUUCACUAGACUUCCUGAACUCAUCCCAAUCUAAU